rnacentral:tRNA from 1 species
CAAAACGUAGCUUAAUUCUCAAAGCAUCUUGCUUACACCAAGAGAAUAUCUGUUCAACCCAGAUCGUUUUGA